CCGCCCGUCACAUCACGAAAGUUAGUUGCUCUGGAAGUCGCCGGGCUGACCGCAAGGAGGCAGGCGCCGAUAGAAGUGGCUGGCGAUUGGGGUG
rnacentral:rRNA from 1 species